AUUUUGGUUCCGAUUGAACGUUUUUCAGUAGUUUAAGACAUGCAAAUCGUUGUUUUCGACAUAUUAUUAAUAGUAAUAUUAGAAAAUAAGGUGUAGAGGUGAGUAUGUUAAAUAAGAUACCCUAUAGUCUUCAUAAAUAGGAGAUAUAUAAUAUAAAUAAAGGAGAUACUUCUGCUAUAGGAUUCUAUUUAAUUUGAUUAGGUAGUUGGUAGGGUAAAGGCCUACCAAGCCGACGAUCGAAAGUCAAGUUUGAAAGAACCUCUGGCCACAUUGGGAAUGAGAUCUCCCAAGUAGUAUAACACUACCAGCAGUCAAGAAUAUUAGUCAAUGCUCGCAAGAGUGAACUAGCUAACUGAAAUCAUAGAGUUUCUUCAAACUCAUGAUGUCGUAAGGGAAAAUAAUGAUAAUACCUUACUAAUAGUGUCGUCCAAAUCUGGUGCCAGAAGACUCGGUAAGACCAGAGACGCAAACGUUAAUCAUCUUAAACAGGCGUAAAGGGUUUGUAGGCGGUUUUCAUAAGACUAUGAAUAAACAAAUAAAGUAGUCUAAUUGGAAGCUAGAAUCAAAAAGAGGUUAUAGUGUAUAACGCUUAGAGGAGGGCUGAUAUCUUUAGAUCCUAAGCAGAAUACUCAGGGCGAAGGCCACUUUCCAUUAAUGAUUGACGCUGAGAAACGAAGGUUAGGGUAAGAAAUAGGAUUAGAUACCCCGGUACUCCUUUCUGUAAACGAUGAAUGGUAGUCAUUAGUUUAAUUAAAACUAGAGGCGAAGUUAACACGAUAACCAUUCCGCCUUGUGAGUACUACUGCAAAGUAGAAAACAAAAAAAUUAGUCGGUCUCGAAGCAAACGGAGUGAAGCAUGUUAUUUAAUACGAUAAUCCGCGUACAACCUUACCAGAACUUGUAUACAAACUUUUUUAAGGAGUAUUUUAAAUCUUUUAAAGUACUUAAGUACAGGUGUUGCAUGGCUGUCUUCAGUUCGUGUUGUUAAACAUUAGGUUAAUUCCACUAACGAACGAAAUCCCUGUUAUUAAUUUAUUCUUAAUAACUAAUGAAUCUGAUAGAGAUUCAGCGGGGGCUAAGACAAGUCGUUAUGGCCCUCAUGUUCUGGGCUAUAGACGUGCCACAAAUACUUUUACAAAGUGACGCAAUACUUCCACCAAGAAGUGGAGCUAAUCAUUAAAAAAAGUAAUUCAUAUUAAUAUUAGACGGAUUGUCUCCUGAAAUUCGGAGGCAUGAAGAAGGAAUUUCGAGUAAUCGUUGAUAAGUAGCGCAACGGUGAAGCUAAUUUCGUGA
rnacentral:rRNA from 1 species